UUCAGCUGUGGGACCACAGAAGGCAGGACUCAGGGAUGGUCUCCAUCAUGGCCUUGUCCCCUCUCCUGCUCAGCCUCCUGGCUCACUGCACAGGUUCCUGGGCCCAGUCUGUGCUGACUCAGCCGCCCUCAGUUUCAGGGAACCCAGGACAGACCGUCACCAUCUCCUGCACUGGAAGCAGCUCCAACAUUGGGGAUAAUUCUGUGCAAUGGUACCAACAGCUCCCAGGAAAGGCCCCCAAAGUAUUCAUAUAUUAUGAUAGCAUUCAAGAGUAUGGAAUCCCUGAUCGAUUCUCUGGCUCCAAGUCUGGCAGCUCAGCCACCCUGACCAUCACUGGGCUCCAGGCUGAGGAUGAGGCCUAUUAUCACUGCCAGACCUAUGAUGACAAUCUCAAUGCUCGCACAGUGCUGCAGGCCUGUGGGGAAGUGAGACAAGAACCCCUGUGUCAUCUGGGAGCUGGGUGAACACUGCAGCUGCUGCUGCUCAGGCUGAGCCUGUGCCCUGUGACUUCUGCUCAUUCUCUGGCUGUUGUCCUGGGCCCAGGUUCCCCCAGGGACGCUGGGAGGGAAAGUUGCUUCUCUCCCUUCUGUCUUUAAUGUCACUCACAGCAGCACUUUCCCAGACUAA